rnacentral:rRNA from 1 species
AAGGGUUAGUGAGGCCUUCUUCCUGGCGGUUGGACUGGGCUCCACUCGUCACCCCUGGGCGCCUCGUGCGUGCUGGGGCCGGUGGGCUCGCCUCGACGCGCCGGAAAGAUGUCCAAACUUGAUCAUUUAGAGGAAGUAAAAGUCGUAACAAGGUUUCCGUAGGUGAACCUGCGGAAGGAUCAU